AGGAGGGAAACCUGGGCAAUCAAUCCAUCUCCAGGCACCGGGAGAGGCCCAGGAACCUCCCUGGGAUGCUCUCAGGCCCUGCUGCUCCAGUCGCCAUCGCCACGGCAACGGUCGCCAUGGCAACGCCUCCUCCAUGGCGACGCAUCCCGCUGGAGCCAUGGGUGGUGUCCUGCAGCCCAAACCCAGGGAUGGAGGCUCCUUCCCGGAUCCCCAUCUCUUGGUGCCAUGUCCAGGUUCUUGUCUCUGCAUCCCAUUCCUUCCCAUCCUGCUUCCAAAAUGAACAAUGAAACCAAAAACCACAAAUCUCUACGCUUGUUUGGAUUCCAGCCCCAGAGAAACUCUGGGAACUGCAAACCUGGAGAAGCUCUGGGAAUCCCAAAUCCUGAGACAGCUCUGGGAGUCCCAAAUUCAGAGACAGCUCUGGGAGUCCCAAAUCUGGAGAAGCUCUGGGAAUCCCAAACCUGAAGAAACUCUGGGAAUCCCAAGCCUGGAGAAGCUCUGGGAAGCCCAAAUCCCAUUCCAACAGCUCUGAGUGCCAAGGAAGCACCAGGACAAGACAAGGUAGAAGGAGAGUGGUCCUGCCAGGAUGGAGCCAAUGGAUCAGCAGCACCCCAGGCUGUUCUUCCCAGGGAAAUGGCAGGUCUGGGGAUGUUGGAAAGCUUGGAAUGACACAGCCAGGGGCAGGAAUCCAUCAGGAGCAGAAAGAUUCUUUCUCCAGGAACACACUUCUACACUGAGAAUAUAUCACGGGGAAAAUGUUGAUUCUUUGAAUAUUUUCUAUGGGAUAUUUUCAAUUAAUCACCCCUCAAAAGUCCUUUUCUGGUGUUUUAUACUGAAAACCUCAAUAACUCAUCCCAGCAAGUGAUUUAGGGAUACUAUAAACAGCUGGAAUAAUACGAGCUCCAUGAAAGGCUGGAAUGAAAACAUCAUUUCUGAAGUUUAAAAAACUCCAUGAUUCUUUCUUCUUGCUGAAUUUCCACUCCCUGAUCCAAGACUGAGAGCUAAAAAUAAACCUGUUGGAAAGCUGCUCUGGGCAGGAACCUGGGAGAAGACCACCAUGGGGUUGAGGACCACCAUGGGAUUGGGGACCACCAGAGCUGCUCGGGAUGGCGAUCCCAAGGCAGAGCGCAGGAGGAUGGGCUGGAAUUUGGGAUGCUGGAUGCUGGAAAAAGGGUGUGGGUGCUCAUCCCAGUGAAGAUCCCACUCCCAAGAUGUGACAUGAGCUCAGCCAGCACCAGCCCCUUGUUUUGUGUCCCUUCAUUGUUCCUCAGAUUAAUUAAAACCCUAAUUAAGAGCUGCCCAAAGCCCAGUGAGUUUGGAUUUAAUUGGCCACUCAUUUUCUGCAAGAAAAAUAAUAAUUAGUGUUGCUGGAGGAGCUGCAAUUAUCCUGGAUUUGUAUGGAUUCUUCACUGCCAAUGAGAGGAGCCAGGCACAUCCCAAAAAUGGACACAGAUGCUCCCAAGUUCCAUCAUCCUUCAGGGAAUACCAGCUCCAUCCUAUCCUGCCCCAUUCCAUCCAUUCCUGCCCUGUUCCAUCCAUCCCUGCCCUGUUCCAUACAUUCCUGCCCUGUUCCAUCCAUUCCAUUCCCUGUUCCAUCCAUUCCAUUCCCUGUUCUAUCCAUUCCAUUCCCUGUUCCAUCCAUCCAAUUCCCUGUUCCAUCCACUCCUGCCCCUGUUCCAUCCAUUCCAUUCCCUCUUCCAUCCAUUCCAUUCCCUGUUCCAUCCAUCCUGCCCCCUGUUCCAUCCAUUCCUGCCCCAUUCCAUCUAUUCCUGUCCCUGUUCCCUCCAUUCCUUCCUUCCCGUCUCUCCCAGCCUCCAUCCCAGCUGGAAUUCCCCUCCUCCUCAUUAGGGAAUUGUUUUAAUUUACUCUGCUCCAUAAUCCUAUUGCAGCUUAACGUGCACAACUGUCCCGGGCUUUUCUCACCUCCACCAAGGCUCAUUCCAGAGCUCCCUCAGCUUCCCAAACAGCUCCAAAAUAGGAAUUUCUUUAUGUCUAUCCUUUUCUUUCCUUCCCGGAGUGCUUGGCACAGGGAUGGGCACUGCCUGUUAAACCCUGAUGGCUCCAGGGUGGUUCUGGUGGGCAUCUGGGGAUUCCCACAUUCCCUGUUUUCUUUCCAGCUCCUCCAGGAGCCGAGGGGAUCUGCUCCUGUGCUCCCUACCCAAGAAGACAGAGUUUAGACAAGAAAAAUGGGUUUUGAUGGGUUUUUUAAUUGAAUUUUUUGAAAUUCAGAGCUCCAAGGGAAUGUGCCCGGGGGUAUAAAGAAAUCCCUGCACGCCUCAGUUUACCUGCCUGCAAAAGAACUGCAAAUAAUCCGGGAACAGAGAGUGGCUCCUCUCCCAUUCCGGGGAUGCUGGGGACGCUUUUUAAUAGGGAUAUCCAUGUCCCAUCCACGUUUCCCUGUUUUGUCUUUCCCCCAGAUAUUCCUGGGAGUGGAUAGGCACCUACUUCCUUUUUUUUUUCAAUUUUUUUUUUCCUACAAUUUCCUGUUAUUUUUAAUGUUUAUUUUUCAUUUUCCAUCCCAGAAAAAUGAAAAAUCUUCAAUUUUCAAUUCCAGGCUCCAGAACCUUUUGGCUCUUCCUGGCAAAGAGACAGAGGAUAAAAGUUCAUUCCCAGCUCUCCUGAGUGGGAAGAAAACCUCAGAAGUUUGCACCUGAAAGCCUCAAUACCAGAAACCAAAAAACCCCAAAAUUGCAGAGCUUUUCAGCCACACCUGACGAGCUCCAUGAGAAGAUCUGCACACUCAGAAAAAAAAAUAUUUUCCCAUAAAAAGGAAUCUGAGGAGGAUGAGCUGUGGAGAAGAACUUAGUGGGGGGCAGCCUCCUGUCUCCUAAUUAAUCCCAAAAUUAUCCCUGAGAGGAUUUUGGUGACCUGAAUAAAUUAUUCCCGUUUUCAGGACAAUUUAA